AGUGCUGCAUGGAUUUUUCACCUACUUGAAGCCCUGUUGCAUUUUCAUUUGUGUAACUGAAACUGUAUGAAUAGGGAACACUGUUGCUGAGAAAGGCUUCUGCUAAUAGCACUCCUGCAUAGAUCAGCUUGCAGGACUGACUAAAAACACUUGCAUCUUUCAUUCCCAAACAUGCACUGAGAGUCAGAACCCAAGAAUAUGGAGAACUACAUAAACAAAACAGCCUCCAAGAGAGCUGUGCAGGCAUAACUGUGAAGAAGGAGAACAGGAAGGUUGCUUGGUACCUGGAAUGUCACAAGACCAGAAAUCAUUACACUGCGGACAGCGUGGUUCAGUCUGAGCUCUGAAGUACUUUCUGACACAAGGUAAAUGCAUUCCAAUUCCACAGGAUUCACAUACUUGGCUCUGAAAUCAGAAGUGUUGAUAAAAAAAAAAAAAAAAAUCUUUCUAACCUGUCCUUCAGCUUAACGUAAAGUUGUUACAAAGGGCAGCAGAUGUGCAGUGCUUUAUUGCAAAGAAUGGUUCACACAGUACAGUUGGUGGAUACUCAAAAGUGAAAGGUGAUAAAUGAUAAAAGGAGGCAUUUUCCUGGAAGCUAGGAAAUACUAUUUCCCUAUAUGGACAAAAUUUACCUUGAAAGACAAACAACACUGAGCUAUUUGGGUGCAAUAAAGGAAACCAAUUGGGAUGGAAAAAGUAACAUGGAAGUAUGUUAGUUGGGAAGACGAGAAGAUGCAGGGUCAAGGAGCAAGAGAAUGCUGUAGUUUUGGAAUAGGAGUUCAGGCUGUAACCACUUAUGCAAGACUAAACUGGUAACUUACCAGCUGUCAAAAUACAGUGCUUUAGCAUGCUAUAUAUAAGCAUACAUGUUCAUUCUGAAGUCCAAGACACAAACAAUUCCCGAACCAAAAUUCCAGGACCAAAGAUGAAUGUGUGUCACAUGAAGACUGUUGUUUGUAAGGUCCAAAUGUAAGAUAGCUAACUCUUAACUGUUACGCCUAUUUAAGGAUAAGGGGUUCAUCUCUAGCCUGCUGGCUUUGGAAAGCAAGACAGCACAAUCAUGUUCCUCAUUGGGUGAGUUUGCUUUCUCCAAGUUUAUACUUGGAGAUACUGCUCCAAGACAAGUUUUCUUCCAAAGACAGAAGAUAAAAUACCUACACUGAAAAAAAAAAAAGGGAGGGGAGGCAUGUUUAUAUACAUGGGCACCAUUACCAGAUUACAAGACCAGAAUUUUUCAGUGCCUGCCUAAUUACUCAGAGUAAAGUAUCACAAACUUCAGCUAUGACCACAUAAGUACAUUGGCAGAUACCUACUGAGGUAAUAAAACAAACGUUACCUGGAUGGCAAGGCUGUGACAGAUGUUACACUUCCUUGCCACAUCUUGGUAGUUGCUGAGAAUGUAUUGUUCCAUCUCAAUUAUGCAGCGAGUAUGCAGAGUAUAUUCUCCAUUUCUCUAAGGAAACCAGUGGCAAGACUUAAUUUAAUUCCUUUUACCUUUUUUGACUUUUCUAACCAUUUGACAUCCACUUUUUUCUGCCAUCAUGAAACUAACAUGCUGACACCAAUAUAAGGCAAAACUGAAAUACUUUUGAAGUAGCAGAAUUCACUUGUUUAGAGGAUGAGAAUCAAGAUCUCACACCUUUAAGAGGCCUAGUCCUUAGAAGGUACAGAUGAGCAAGCAUGCUCUCCUUAAAGACAUGCAGUUUUGGGACCCUCCAUUUGCAUGUUAGCAGAAAUUCUACUGGCUUUCAGCAAAAUCUAGGCAUUUACUGCUUGAGGUAUCUUUGAAAAUUUCUGUUAAAUCACUCUAACGUAAGUAAACAUGUGGCAGCAGGUUGGAGUUCUAUCUAUGAUGGAAUGAAUCCUGGAGAAAAGGGAUUGAGGUCUCGCUUCUCUUGGCAAGCAACUGCAGUGUCCAUGCAGCAAGCUAAUCUCAAUUUCUCCCUCGUGAAGUAAAGGAGAUUUAGAAACAGGCACAGUGGCCCAUGCAUUUCUGGUACAGGAGUUUUCAACAUGUUUGCCCUCGCUGCUUUCCAGGAUAUUCUAAAUGUAACUACCAGCACUGAUCGCCCUACAGCUCUUGUUCCAAGUUUAAGUAUGCCAUGCUGUUGCGUACAAAGGACGUCUGUACCUUGCAAUGCAGGGCUGUACACACAUACCCACCUAGCUCAGGUACAAGAAACUGAAACCACAUUGACCUGUAUAGACCUACCCAAGGACUUCUUGUAAAUGUACUACCUCUUCUGCAAAAAUCACUGCAGCAGCAAUAAGCACAGGCCCCACAAAAACAUUUUUGCCAUCGUUCAUUAAAGAACAGCUCCAGUUUCAGCCAUCACAUCCAUAACAAAAUAAUAGCUGGACCUAUUAAAAUAUGAACACUUGAAAAGACACAGCAGUUACCUCAGAGAGCCACUUAUCCUCCACAAAAACUUUCAGCACUUGUUCCGCUUCCUUUUUCUUCAUUUUCUUUGUCUUCAGUUGGUCAGUCAAGUUUAAAAUAUCUGUAGAAGAGGCAAAGCCAUUUUCUGAUAAGAUGAUUAGGUCCAUCUACAGAAAGAAACAUUUUCAACUAUUAAAAAAACCAUGCUAUUAGAUAGACACAUCUUAUAGUACAGUGCAGCUUUUUUACCAUCCAUACAUGAGAUACACUACAGUAUAUGGCUUGAACCAGGAUUGUAGAACAAAGGCCAAAAGUUGAAACAGUCAUUGUUAGCUUGACAGUUUUAAUCUUUGCCAAGAAAACAUUUCCACAAAUAGAACUGAACAGUGCUGCCUAAAUGAAGCUGCAUUCAGGGACCCUUGAGCAUACUUGGGGGUGACAGUUCUGUUGCUUUUUACCUGCUUUUUGUCAAGGUUCUUUUGAGGAAAAAUCUCUGACUACUAAAGUAAGUUUGUCCACUGUGGAGUCAUUAGUACUACGGAACCUACCUGGCACUUGAAGGUUGUAGCAAUCACAACUGAAAAUCCUGAAGGUGAUUGUUUAACUAAAAGCAGAUAUGUCAAGUCACUAACUCCAAGGAGCACUCCCUUAUUGCUGAUUUCAGUUUACCAAUAACUGACUUUCAACAGGGAAUCAUUACUUGCAUAUACUCCCAUCCCCACCCUCCCAUUCGAUUUAGGAUAAACUUAGGUAAGAUGGCAACUAGUUCCUAAACAACAUCUCCCUUCAUUUCCAUUUCCAUUCAUUUUAAGAUGGUACCUUCACAAAUAAUGUGAUUUACUAACUAAUUACUGACAUACUUACUGUUUUUCUGAACAAUUCUAAUUCAUUUUCUGUAUAGUCCGAUGCCAUUUUAGUUAUUUCAGUUUCUGCCAAAUUCACCUACAAAAAAAAUACUUAAACUGAAAUCAAAGUGCCUUUGUAUUUCUACACCAUAAAUUGUAAAAGAUCCUCUGGGCUAAAGAAUACAUCAUCUUACAAUUAACAGAAACAUCAUUUCUUUAAGUAGCAUGAAAGUAGCUGUUCCUUAAAGAUGGCACUCAAUGGUUCUCAAGUCCCUUCUUUAUAACCCCUGAUCUUCCAGCCACAUGUUCUCCAUAGCUGCCUCUGCCCAGUCCAAGCUCUUAAACAACUCGGCCUCCCCGCUACAGAAUUAUAUAGAAUAUUAGUUCUAUAUAGUAGAACUAAUAUAUUACACCAGGAUACUGUGCUGGACAGUAGCACUAACUAUGUCAUAAUACACUUUUUUGUUUCUGUGAAGAACAGUCACCUAUAUUUCAUAUUCUUAUUGCACAUGCUGCUGCUAUUUAUUAUUAGCUUAAGUUAAUUGGCAAAAUGACCCAGAAAGGUUAAAAGCAGCAGCUAAUGUUAGAAUACUUCCUGUAUGGUCUUUUGAAAUUACUAUAUGACCUUCCGUCUCUGACAUGCACAUUGCAGAACAUCUAGGUAAAUGUUUUAUGGGCCAUUCCUUAGCAACUGUUUUAUGCUAGGUUGAUUUUUGAGUAAGAGAAAAAGAAAACUAAUGUUGGAGGGCUCUCUGUGUUUUCUAGUUUAAAAAUGCAUCUUGAGAAAGUCUCCUGUGAAAAAGAAAUCUCACUUCAGCACUUAAGCAAUGUUUAUGCUAAAUAAAUCAGAUGCUGCUGUAGUCCUUGCUGCCAUGUUCCAUGUCCACACACCUAGGCUGCUGGCAGUUUAUCCUCCCACUUCCCUAUUCUACAAGUAGCUUCUACAGCAGCUGUCAGCAUAACAGUGGAACAGCCCCACAUAAACCACACAAGACACUGCUAAGAGUAAGAAGCCUACUGGCACAUGCAGCCUUCAGUUCUAGAUUCUCUCUGUUUUCUCUAAAUAUCAGUUCUAUUAUACUGUAGGAAAAGGACCCUAAGGUAAGUCAAUCUAACAUCCAACGAUGGCAGUUAGGGCAGCCUUAUGUUUAUUAUGCACACAUACAGCUAGAUUUUUUUUGCCCAUUUACAACUGGAAGGUGUGCAGACCUUUUACGGGCACGUUAUUCAAAGGUUAAUUUUAAGUUGGAGACAGGGAGGCUGAGGCUCCCUCUGCCAUCCAUGCGCUGGUCAUGAGAAGCCAAACCACGCGAUGGCAGCACAUCACAUACUUACUAAAGCAUAAUGUGCUCUCCCAUCACCUUCUGACAUUCCUUUCCGGAUCUGCAUAAACAAAGGCUGUAGAUGGCUGUUAAUGGUACUGAUGAAAUCAUCCAGUUUAUCAUGUGCGUAGUAGACUGAAGAUAAGAAAAAGCACAUACUCAGAAAACCCAAACAACUACAGAUCAGGCAGAUCUUUUUAUGUUUUAUCUGCUGAAACAUUUUUUUCCUAGGUAAAAGAGCUAAAUGUUAGUGAGGCAGAAUUCAAAUAGAUCUGCUACAUUCAGCAGACAUAUAAUUUUCUUGUGCUGCUGACUACUAGCCUUCAGAGAAGCUCUGCUCCUUCAAAGUCAGAGUUUAGAGAGAGAGAGUCCAGACAUUCUGCCUCGCUGUAUGGAACCCACCGCAUUAAUCCAUUAAUUACAGUGACUUGAACUAAGUUUAACUGAAAAUAAAACAUGACCAGGAAAAAUUAUUAUGCACAAUACAAAAAUAUACUUGCAUGCUUUUGUUUACACACAAGGGAUUCCUUGUUUCUUUGUGUUCUGUUUCACAAAUUAAUGGCAUGUAAAUGAUCAAGUUACAUACCAGAAAACUUAAAUUCUAGCAUUGUAGAAAUACAGGUAAUAUCUUGUGUCAUGUUCUACAAACAAAUACUAGCAGAAGUUCUAUCAUAGGCAUAAUCAAGAUGGACUUUGGAGUCAUUCUGUAGAAGCAUGUGCUAUGGCUUUUGCUUGCACAGCAACAGCACACGCCCUCAGGAGUUUCCAUCCAAACCAAAAUGAUGUCAGUGGCAAAACUCCCGUUGACUUCAGCAGGCUAGUGUUAAGUAACAGCUUAUAACUUUAGAAAAAUAAUACUCAAAAUACUCAAAAAUACUACCAGUUAUCACUAACUUAAUACUAUUCUCAGUUACAAAAGGCAAUCACUUGUGUAACAGCAUCAGACAGAGGUCCCACUCUCAAAACCCCACUAUACUUUAUAGCGUAGCACAAUGCAAAAACAUAAGUCACAGGAGGCUCCUGCCCAGAAAGUUUGUGAUUCUGAUAUGUAAGACUCCUUAAGUGAAAAAAAAAACAACAAACAGCAAUAGCAAUAAUAAAGUAAGUAUAAUAUUAAAGUAAGUAUAAUUUUGUCAAAUUGUCAUGCCACCUGCCUGGCACCUGUCAGCAGGAAACACUCCACACACAUCAAAGCCAGUGAGCAUUAGUGACAAAUCUCAAAGAGGGCAACAGAAGAAUAUUCUUUUGUACAACAGCUCUAACAUUUUAAUGUGAGAUGAAUGGCUGCUCUAGUAGAUCCUGUGAAAAAAAGGGAUAUAAACUCUCCAUAAAAAAAGAACGGGGGA